UACGGAGGGUGCAACGUUGCGCGAAUAUUGGGCGUAAAGAGCUCGUAGGCGGUGUGUCGCGUCGGCCGUGAAAACCUGCAGCUUAACUGUGGGCUUGCGGUCGAUACGGGCAUCACUGGAGUUGCGGCAGGGGAGACUGGAAUUCCUGGUGUAGCGGUGAAAUGCGCAGAUAUCAGGAGGAACACCGGUGGCGAAGGCGGGUCUCUGGACAGUUCCUGACGCUGAGGCACGAAGGUCAGGGGAGCAAACGGG
rnacentral:rRNA from 1 species